UACGAGGGGGGCAAGCGUUGUUCGGAAUUAUUGGGCGUAAAGGGCGCGUAGGCGGCGCGGAUAGUCGGCGGUGAAAGCCCGGAGCUCAACUCCGGGUCGGCCGUCGAUACUUCCGGGCUUGAGCACUGUAGAGGCAGAUGGAAUUCCGGGUGUAGCGGUGGAAUGCGUAGAGAUCCGGAAGAACACCGGUGGCGAAGGCGGUCUGCUGGGCAGUUGCUGACACUGAGGCGCGACAGCGUGGGGAGCAAACAGG
rnacentral:rRNA from 1 species